rnacentral:rRNA from 1 species
GUACACGCUGUGACUAGCAUAUCAAUAAGCGGAGGAAAAGGAACUAACAAGGAUUCCCUUAGUAACGGCGAGUGAAGCGGGAAGAGCUCAAAUUUGAAAUCUUCAAGGUUUUACCUUGACGAAUUGUAGUUUAAAGAAGUGUUUUCUGCUGAAGUUUUGGUAAAAGUUCUUUGGAAUAGGACAUCAUAGAGGGUGAGAAUCCCGUAUUUGACCAUUAUUUUCAGCUUUGUGAUACACUUUCAAAGAGUCGGAUUGUUUGGGAAUGCAGUCCAAAAUGAGGUGGUAAAUUUCAUCUAAAGCUAAAUAUUGGCGAGAGACCGAUAGCAAACAAGUACCGUGAGGGAAAGAUGAAAAGAACUUUGAAAAGAGAGUUAAACAGUACGUGAAAUUGUCAAAAGGGAAGCGUUUGACACCAGUGUUGUUUUCUCGAAAAUCAAUUAAAAGAUGUCUCGAUUUUGUGUUGCUUAUGACCUUAUAAGCUCCUGUACAUCUUUUCAGUGUCUUUUUUGAUGCACUUUUCGUUUAACAAGUCAACAUCAGUUUCUUUUGUUGUAAAAGGGUCAUUGGAAGGUGGCUUUCUCUUCGGAGAAAGUGUUUAUAGCCUUUGCCUCAUGCAAUCGGAGAGACUGAGGUCUGCAGCGUAGAUCCUUCGGGGUUAGAUACAUUUGUGCUAAGUUAUAGCUUUUCAUAGACAACUUGUUGACUAUAGUUAGUCUUGUAGCUUACUCGCUUAUGCUAUUUUACCUACGCUUAGGAUGUUGAGUAGCGACAUACGCAC